GACGAACGCUGGCGGCGUGCUUAACACAUGCAAGUCGAACGGAAAGGCCCUGCUUUUGUGGGUUGGUCGAUUGGCGAACGGGUGAGUAACACGUGAGUAACCUUCCCUUGACUUUGGGAUAACUUCUGGAAACUGGGGCUAAUACCGGAUAGGAGCUCCUGCUGCAUGGUGGGGGUUGGAAAGUUUCGGCGGUUGGGGAUAGACUCGCGGCUUAUCAGCUUGUUGGUGAGGUAGUUGCUUACCCAGGCUUUGACGGGUAUCCGGCCUGAGAGGGUAACCGGCCACAUUGGGCCUGAGAUACGGCCCAGAAUGCUACGGGAGGCAGUAGUCGGGAAGAUUGCGCAAUGGGCGGAAGCUUGAUGCAGCAACGCCGGGGGCGGAAUGACGUCCUUUGGGUUGUAAACCGUUUUCGCAUGUGACGAAGCGUUCGUGACGGUAACGGGUCAAGAAGCAACGGCUAACUACGUG
rnacentral:rRNA from 1 species